GGACAUAUAGCUCAAUCGGCAGAGCAUCCGGCUGUUAACCGGAGGGUUGUGGGUUCAAGUCCCUCUAUGUCCGCUA
rnacentral:tRNA from 1 species